UCCCUUAAGAUUUUUUUUUUUUUCCAUCACCCCCUUCCACUUCCGCCCGACGUAAUUUUUUUCGCACCUUUCCUCUUCCGUUUUGCCUCCCCAAAUACCGAUGAGCAUCGCCGGCGCGCCAUCCCCGCGAUCCAUCUGAUGGCCAAGUAGCGUCGUCGUCGUCUUCCCCGUGGGGCAGUGGGUGCCCAAGAUCGCCAUCGAUGCCUACGUCGCCCCCAACGUUAUCCUCGCCGGCCAGGUCACCGUCAACGCAUCUCUUCUUCCUCCUUAAUUCUUUCGCAUGUCACGGAGGCGGCGGUUUCCGGCCCUUCCAGGUCUCGAGGUGGGCCAUUAUUGCUAGGGUUUCUCCGAGAGAGAGAGAGAAAGGAGGGAAGGGGAUAGAGAGAGGCCGGGCCAUGGCGUCCAAGGCCUCGUCUUCGACUUCCGCCAGCAGAUCCAUGCCCCCCGCCGGCGUUCAGCCUGGGAUGUGCCGAGAGAUUGGAUUUUUACUGCAAUGUGGAUGCGUCGUGCGAUUUUUUCUUUGGUGGUUUUGGUCGUGAUGGGAACCACAUUGUUGAAGAGUGAUCUUAUUUCAGAACGGCCGGGCUAAGAGAGUGGUGGUCGCAGCGUUUUCAGCAAGCAGAUUUGCCCUUGAAUUGGUCUUUAACGUCGAGCUGGAGGGAUUUUUGAGGAAAAGUUGAGCCGGUUUUUCUUUUUUUUUUCCCGUGAAGCUCUUAACAUGCGGGAGUCCGGCUCUGUGGAUAGAAGUCCCUGCUCUGAAGAAGCAAGAUUUCGUUUUGCGUUGAUUACUAUAUAACAGUAGUUUAGAGGAGUGAAAAAUUGCUUUAUUUCAUAUGGAUUAAAUGGGUUCAGCCUUUAUGUUGCUGUUUCUCUUCUCUUGCAUCCUGUUGCAUUGGGAGGAAGAACAAGAUUCUGGUAUUGUUCCUGAUACCUUCUUUGCAGGAGUUUCAAUGCAAGAAUUCCAUGCACCUCUUAUUUUUAGGUUCCUUAUCAGAUAUAUAUAUUUCCAUGCCACUAUUCUCUCUACUUCUAUGCUGGGAUUUUUAUCAGGCCAUCUGUCUUGUAUACAUUCAGCAAGCUUUGUUCUACAAAUAUGCAGGAGAAGCUAAUUUUACAGUCCAGAAGUUCCUUUUAAUUGAUAUUGUAGGACAAUUGCUAUAUAUUUCAGAUAUACAGGUCAACCAAAUCAUCACUUUCAGGUGUCUUGCAAGAUUAUGUCACUGCUCACUCUUUGUUCUUGGUUGGUCUCCUCAACUGUAUCCAGGUCAUGAGUUUCUUGUAUUACUUAUAGAAGAGCAUUACUUUAGGAUAUACCUAUUAAUUCUCUUCGGUUCUCUCUCUUCAAAUGUUGCUGCUGGGUCAUCUAAGCACAUCACUGUUAUAUAUCACCAGAGUUCAUUAUAAGUCUAUCAUGGGUAGUGGUCUUCAAACUGACUCCAUAUCUCAACAUAUCCAUAUUGCAAUCUCAGUAGUUUAUACCCCUGUUCAUAUGUCAAGGUACUGCAGUUAUUUGAUAUUGCUGCUCAAUGAUGAAGACUUUGGUACUCAUUAUGAACUAACAAAGAGGUACUCACUGCAGUAGUGUCAUCAUCAAAUUCAAGUUUUUCAAUCUUCAACUGCUUCUUUGCUGUUAAAAGGAUACUGUUCGUAUCUCAUUACAGGACUUGUUUUGUUUCCAUUUCAUAUAUUAUUCUUUUGUUCGUCGGUCCUGUUCAUAUCUCAGUACAGGUCUUGUCUGUUUCAUUUCAUACUUUUGUUGCUCCUGCCUCUUGAUUGUUUUAUUUGCAGGAGAUUCUGGUUCUUUGAGUCU